rnacentral:rRNA from 1 species
CGUAACACGUAUGCAACCUACCUAUAACUGGGGCAUAGCCCGAAGAAAUUCGGAUUAAUAUCCCAUAACAUUUUCGAAUCGCAUGAUUUGGAUCUUAAAGCUCCGGCGGUUAUAGAUGGGCAUGCGGCCUAUUAGCUAGUUGGUGAGGUAAUGGCUCACCAAGGCUACGAUAGGUAGGGGGUCUGAGAGGAUGAUCCCCCACACUGGUACUGAGACACGGACCAGACUCC